rnacentral:rRNA from 1 species
GAUGAACGCUGGCGGCGUGCCUAACACAUGCAAGUCGAGCGGCAGCGCCGGGUGCUUGCACCCUGUCCGCGAGCGGCGCGCGGCUGAGUAACGCGUGGAAACGUGCCCCAAAGUGAGGAAUAACUGACCGAAAGGGUAGCUAAUACCGCAUAUUAUCUCCGCAUCAAAGGGUUUAUCCGCGUUGGUAGCGGCUCGCGUCGGAUUUGGUAGUUGGUGAGGUAGUGGCUCACCAAGCCGACGAUGCGGAGCUGGACUGGUAGGCGGACACACCAGACUGGAAAUGAGACCCAGACCAGACUGCGACGCGAGGCAGCAGUGUAGUAUCCUCCGGAAUGAGGGAAAGUCCGGUGAAGCAACGCGGGGUGCAGGGGGAAGGGGUUUGGGUUGUAAACUGCUCUUAUAAGUGAGGAAUAUGACGGUAACUGAUGAAGAAGGACCGGCUAACUACGUG